rnacentral:rRNA from 1 species
UACGUAGGUGGCAAGCGUUGUCCGGAUUUACUGGGCGUAAAGAGCGCGCAGGCGGCUGGUCAAGUCCGAUGUGAAAUCUCCCGGCUUAACUGGGAAACUGCAUCGGAAACUGAUCGGCUUGAAGGUGGGAGAGGGUAGUGGAAUUCCCGGUGUAGUGGUGAAAUGCGCAGAUAUCAGGAAGAACACCCGUGGCGAAGGCGGUUCUCUGGGACGGUACUGACGCUGAGACGCGAAAGCGUGGGGAGCGAACAGG